UGGCGCACGGGUGCGUAACGCGUGGGGAAUCCUGCCCUUCGGUUCGGAAUAACUCAGGGAAACUUGAGCUAAUACCGGAUAAUGACGUAAAGUCCAAAGAUUUAUCGCCGAGGGAUGAGCCCGCGUAAGAUUAGCUUGUUGGUGAGGUAAAGGCUCACCAAGGCUACGAUCUUUAGCUGGUCUGAGAGGAUGAUCAGCCACACUGGGACUGAGACACGGCCCAG
rnacentral:rRNA from 1 species